rnacentral:lncRNA from 1 species
UUCAGCAGUCGCCUCCUAUUCUCUUCUCUCUCUUUCAAACCCAAAGACAAAAUCAAAAGAACAAUUGCAACUAUCUUCUCCCUCUUUUCACUCAAAACCAACGGUAAACACAAGAGACAGUUAUCUAUCUUCUACUCCACUCUUUUCGUUUAGAUUGUUGUGUGUGAAACGGGUGAAGAUGUCGGUAACGGAGGCUGUUUAGCGGCGGCGACAAGCAGUGGCGGAGAACGGCGGCAGUGGUGCUGGUUCGCGGUGGUUAUGAUGAACCGACGUUGAAAGUGAUGGAGGCCGGAGGACCCAUCGGAGAAGAUGAAGGAGUUGCAGGUUACACGGCGGUGGUCGGCACAGGCGCUGGUCAGCACAGAUGAUGAAUGUAGAUCUCGAAGUUGAACGUGGUGUAGACGGAGAAGACGGAGAUGACGUUUCUAUCUGGUUUGCACGGUGGUGGAUGACGUCACGCCGGAGAUGGUGGUGAUCAGGAGAACGGAGACGAUGACCGGUGGUUUAUGCUGACCGAUGAACAGAGACGGUGACCGGUGGUUUCUACAUCCUUUUCAAAACUGAAGCUUCUACUUUGUUAGGGUAUGCCGGAGCAACGGAGUCGUCGGAGCGUCAAACGACGCCAAAUUGAAUUUUACGGAUACUGAAGGCAUUU